rnacentral:rRNA from 1 species
GAUCGACCAGAGGGAAAAGGAGCAAUCCGCUUUGAGAUGGCCUCGCGUCCGAUUAGCUAGUUGGUGAGGUAAUGGCCCACCAAGGCAACGAUCGGUAGCCGGACUGAGAGGUUGAACGGCCACAUUGGGACUGAGACACGGCCCAGACUCCUACGGGAGGCAGCAUG